GGGGAAUUAGCUCAAAUGGUAGAGCGCCCGCUUUGCAAGAGGGAGGUACCGGGAUCGAUACCCGGAUGCUCCA
rnacentral:tRNA from 1 species